rnacentral:sRNA from 1 species
AUGGCUGUCGUCAGCUCGUGUCGUGAGAUGCUGGGUUAAGUCCCGCAACGAGCGCAACCCUCGUUCUAUGUUGCCAGCGGGUUAUGCCGGGGACUCAUAGGAGACUGCCGGGGUCAACUCGGAGGAAGGUGGGGAUGACGUCAAAUCAUCAUGCCCCUUAUGUCUUGGGCUUCACGCAUGCUACAAUGGCCGGUACAAAGGGCUGCGAUACCGCAAGGUGGAGCGAAUCCCAAAAAGCCGGUCUCAGUUCGGAUUGGGGUCUGCAACUCGACCCCAUGAAGUCGGAGUCGCUAGUAAUCGCAGAUCAGCAACGCUGCGGUGAAUACGUUCCCGGGCCUUGUACACACCGCCCGUCAAGUCACGAAAGUCGGUAACACCCGAAGCCGGUGGCCCAACCUCGCUUGCGAGGAGGGAGCUGUCGAAGGUGGGACUGGCGAUUGGGACUAAGUCGUAACAAGGUAGCCGUACCGGAAGGUGCGGCUGGAUCACCUCCUUUCUAAGGAGCACUGGCAUCUGCGUCGCUCGCUUCGGUGGGUGGGGUUGGGUGUCCAGGCCUGCGCCUCGGCCGUUCGCGUCGGGGGUAGGGCUCAAGGGUGGAACAUCGACUAUGGCUGAUCGGCCAGUUGGUUCGUGGUUAGUACUCCUGGGGUUCGCUCCGGGGUGGAACGUCGUGGGCCUGCGGGGUUGGUUGGUCUUGGCACGCUGUUGGGUCCUGAGGGAACGGGCGAAAGCUUGUUGCUUCAGGUCACCAGCUCCUCGAUCAUGAGGGGGGUGACUGCUAGCGGAUCACACUGCAACCGGUUCAGGCCGGCUCGAAGAACGCCACCACGGUGGCCAGGACACGGGUCGAGUGCGGUGAAGGUGUGGGACCGCCCGUAGCUUGAGAACUGCACAGUGGACGCGAGCAUCUUUGUAAGAUCUUUGUGGUCAAGUUUAUAAGGGCACAUGGUGGAUGCCUUGGCACUAGGAGCCGAAGAAGGACGUUGUAGCCUGCGAUAAGCCUCGGGGAGUUGGCAAACGAACCGUGAUCCGAGGAUUUCCGAAUGGGGAAACCCGG